UUUCCGUAGGUGAACCUGCGGAAGGAUCAUUAUUGAAAAAGACAAGACGUCCCGUUUUUUCGUAAAAUGGGUUCAAUACCCACAACCGUGUAUACCUUACCUUUUGUUGCUUUGGCAGGCCGCCUCCAGGCGUUGGCUUCGGCUGACAGCGCCUGCCAGAGGACCCAAACUCUGUGUUUAGUGAUGUCUGAGUAAUAUAUAAUAUUUUAAAACUUUCAACAACGGAUCUCUUGGUUCUG
rnacentral:misc_RNA from 1 species